rnacentral:lncRNA from 10 species
CUCAGGUGAUCCACCCCCCUCAGCCUCCCAAAGUGCUAGGAUUACAGGAAAGAGCCACUGCGCCCUGUCAAAAACAGAAAAUCUUAAAGGCCUUUCCCUUUUCCCCGCCUGGGCUCAAACAUCAGCUGGAGCCGCCCUGCCACGCCCCCUCGCGGUUCUGGAGAGCAGGCCGGCUGACUGAGCGCGAUCAUGGUCCCCGAAAGGGCUGCGGGCGAAGCGGGCUCCCAGCUCGGGGCUCGGGGACCAGGGCGAGAGGUGCCAGCAGCCCCCAAGCCAGCCCCCCGCAAGGAGAAAGAGAGACGCGCCCUCCGCCUCCUCCCACCCAAGCCUCCAGCAGUCCUGGCUAUCGGGGCGGGCUAGUCACAGGAGUAAGGGGCGCGUUGGCCCCGCCCGGGGAACCGGAGCCUCUCCCGGGCAGGCUCCCCUUUGUCCCGGUACUUCCGCAGCCUCCUCUCCACCCUCGCCCUGCCCCUUGGGGCCGCCGCUGGGCGCUGACACGGACACGGACCCACAGACGCGGACAUCUUACCCUCAUCUCCGGCGGCAGGGGCGCCGAAGAGUUCAUUAGUUUCUGUUUGUUCUCAGUUAAUAUCCAGCUCAAUAGAUUGUCACCAACCAUGUGCCUAGAGCUAACUGUGCCAAGAAGAGCAUGCUUCAGGUGGCUGCAGUGAGCAGUUCAACUUGUGGAGGAAUGAGAAUUAUAAUGUUGAGACAAGAAAUGCAAAACCCCAGGGUAAGGUAGGAAUCACUGAAAGUCAGGCAAAGGAACUGACAUCCAGUGAUGAGUCAGGCUUUGCCAGCCUCUGGCCCUACAGAUGGCUCUUUGGAGAGGAAGAAAUUAAGUCAGACCCGAGGGCACAGAUCCUGAGGGAAUGCCGGCAGCUCUGGGCUGUCUGUGACAGUCCAGAUUUGCUGCUUCAUCCUGGGGCUUUAGGCAAGUCCCCUUUCCUCCCAGAGCUCCAGUAUCCCUUCUAUCAAAUGAUGAUGUUCUGCCUUUCUCCUAGGAUGGCUGUGGAGAUCCAGGGAGGCAGUGGCCAUAGGGAUGCUAUGUUAACUGCAGAUGCAGCCGUAGGAGCACUUUGCUAACUGCCAACGUGAGUUCAGACUCUUCAGGCUAUUUGGCACCCAGGUCUAUGGUGAGGUGUGACAUGUGGGAUGUAAGGUUUGAUGCCUGCUCCGACUCCAGUCUUGCUAACACACGCUAAGCAUUUGACAAAUCAUGACCCUGCCUUGGGGAAAAGGGCAGUCUGGGAGAGCUUCUUCAAGGCAGGCUGGCUUCAAUGCAGUCCAGGGCAUGACUGAGAUAGCCUUACGUGGUGAGGAAUUGGAGGAUAACUGGGUAAAAAGCUGCCAUGGGUGGAAGUGUAGUGUGGGUCACAUCGAGGAUAGCCCCUGGCCAAAGCAGGGAACAGAGACAGAAUGAGGAAGAGCUCUGUGGGGAAGGUGGGGCA